AUUGAACGCUGGCGGCAAGCCUAACACAUGCAAGUCGAACGAGUGGCGGACGGGUGAGUAAUGUCUGGGAACCUGCCUGAUGGAGGGGGAUAACUACUGGAAACGGUAUCUAAUACCGCAUACCAUCGGAUGUGCCCAGAUGGGAGUAGCUAGUAGGUGGGGUAAAGGCUCACCGAGGCGACGAUCCAUAGCUGGUCUGAGAGGAUGACCAGCCACACUGGAACUGAGACACGGUCCAGACCCCUACGGGAGGCAGCAGUGGGGAAUAUUGCACAAUGGGCGCAAGCCUGAUGCAGCCAUGCCGCGUGUAUGAAGAAGUCCUUCGGGUUGUAAAGUACUUUCAGCGGGGAGGCGUUACCCGCAGAAGAAGAACCGGCUAACUCCGUGCCAGCCGCCGCGGUAAUUC
rnacentral:rRNA from 1 species